GCCUCUAUGGCGCAGUGGUAACGCGUCGCACUUGUACGCGGUUCAGAUCACUGGAUCAACAUGACUAUGCGAAGAUCCUCAGUUCAAUUCUGGGUGGAGGCA
rnacentral:tRNA from 1 species